GAUGAAGAACGUAGCGAAAUGCGAUAACUAAUGUGAAUUGCAGAAUUCAGUGAAUCAUCGAGUCUUUGAACGCACAUUGCGCCCUCUGGUAUUCCGGAGGGCAUGCCUGUCCGAGCGUCAUUGCUGCCCUCAAGCACGGCUCGUGUGUUGGGCCCCCGUCCCCCCCUCUGCCGGGGGGACGGGCCCGAAAGGCAGCGGCGGCACCGCGUCCGGUCCUCGAGCGUAUGGGGCUUCGUCACCCGCUCUUGUAGGCCCGGCCGGCGCCAGCCGACCCCAACCCUAAAUUUUUUUCAGGUUGACCUCGGAUCAGGUAGGGAUACCCGCUGAACUUAAGCAUAUCAAUAAGCGGAGGA
rnacentral:misc_RNA from 1 species